rnacentral:rRNA from 1 species
GGAAUAUUGGACAAUGGGGGGAACCCUGAUCCAGCCAUGCCGCGUGUGUGAAGAAGGCCUUAUGGUUGUAAAGCACUUUAAGCGAGGAGGAGGCUACUUUGGUUAAUACCCAGAGAUAGUGGACGUUACUCGCAGAAUAAGCACCGGCUAACUCUGUGCCAGCAGCCGCGGUAAUACAGAGGGUGCGAGCGUUAAUCGGAUUUACUGGGCGUAAAGCGUGCGUAGGUGGCUAAUUAAGUCAAAUGUGAAAUCCCCGAGCUUAACUUGGGAAUUGCAUUCGAUACUGGUUAGCUAGAGUAUGGGAGAGGAUGGUAGAAUUCCAGGUGUAGCGGUGAAAUGCGUAGAGAUCUGGAGGAAUACCGAUGGCGAAGGCAGCCAUCUGGCCUAAUACUGACACUGAGGUACGAAAGCAUGGGGAGCAA